AGUGCCACAACCCCAACCAACAGCGGGUGUUUUCUUCUCAUGGCAAUGCUUUGGGUAAUGCCAGCGUGCCCCAGCGGGUAGCAGGGUGCUUGGGACAUGAUGCUGGGGGUGACCACCUCUGUGGGCUGUGGGUGGGAUGUAUCGGUGUUUGGCCACCUCGCUGCUUGGCCGAGGGGUCCCUCGCCCUCCGUUCAUCCCCACUGCCUUUCGUGCAGGGUCAGGGGGCUACAGCAGGUGGGAAGAAGAGAAGACAAACGAUGGGGUGAAGUGGAAACAGCUGGAACACAAAGGACCCUACUUUGUCCCUCUCUACGAGCCUCUGCCUGAUGAUGUGCAAUUUUAUUAUGAUGGUAAACCCCUGAAGCUGAGCCUGGCCACGGAGGAAAUUGCCACUUUCUAUGCAAAAAUGCUUGAUCAUGAGUACACAACUAAAGAGAUCUUCCAGAACAACUUUUUUAAUGACUGGAGGAAGGAGAUGACACCUCAGGAACAAGAGAUAAUCAAGCAGUUGGACAAGUGUGACUUCAGGGAGAUUCAUAAGUACUUUGUGGACAAAAAUGAGGCACGGAAAGCACUCUCCAAAGAGGAGAAGCAGAAACUGAAGGAGGAGGCAGAUAAGAUCCAGGAGGAGUAUGGAUACUGCAUCCUUGAUGGGCACAGGGAGAAGAUAGGCAAUUUCAAAACUGAGCCUCCAGGGCUGUUCCGUGGACGUGGUGAUCACCCCAAAAUGGGCAUGCUGAAGAAGAGGAUUAUGCCAGAAGAUGUGAUCAUCAACUGUAGCAAGGACUCCAAGAUCCCUGAGCCACCAGUGGGGCAUAAAUGGAAGGAAGUACGCUUUGACAACACAGUCACCUGGCUGGCCUCAUGGACUGAAAACAUCCAGAACUCCUUAAAGUACAUCAUGCUGAACCCGAGCUCCAAGCUGAAGGGGGAAAAGGACUGGCAGAAGUUUGAGGUAGCCCGGAGACUAAAGGAUGUUGUCCACAAGAUCCGUGCUCAGUACCAGGCUGACUGGAAGUCCAAGGAGAUGAGGAAGCGACAAAGAGCAGUGGCUCUCUACUUCAUUGAUAAGCUGGCCCUGAGAGCUGGUAAUGAGAAAGAAGAAGGGGAGACUGCAGACACAGUUGGCUGCUGUUCCCUACGUGUGGAGCACAUCAAGCUGCACUCUAAGCUGGAUGGGCAGGAGCAUGUGGUGGAGUUUGACUUCCUUGGGAAAGACUCCAUCCGCUAUUACAACAAAGUAUCAGUGGAAAAGCCAGUGUUCAAGAACCUACAGCUGUUCAUGAAGAACAAAGACCCAGGUGAUGACCUCUUUGAUAGGCUCUCUACAACCGUCUUGAACAAACACCUUCAGAAGCUGAUGAAUGGUUUGACUGCCAAAGUGUUCAGGACCUACAAUGCUUCCAUCACCUUGCAGGAGCAGCUCAAGGCACUCACUAACCCUGAAAACAGUGUUGCUGAAAAGCUUCUCUCCUACAACCGAGCAAACCGAGCUGUGGCCAUCCUGUGCAACCAUCAGAGAUCCACGCCAAAAACCUUUGAGAAGUCAAUGCAAAAUCUGCAAACCAAGAUUGAUGCCAAGAAGGAACAGCUGGAAAAAGCCCAACAAGAGCUGGAAGAAGCUGAAGAUGAGUUAAAAGACAAAAAAGAUGCCAAAGCAGAGGCCAACGUGCAAAAGAAAAAGAAGCUGUUGGAACGUCUGAAGGAGCAGCUGGCCAAGCUGAAUGUCCAGGCCACAGACAAGGAGGAGAACAAACAGAUAGCUCUGGGCACGUCCAAGCUGAAUUACCUGGAUCCCAGGAUUAGCAUAGCCUGCCAACUUGCUGAUGUGCUAUGUCUACACCAACCAGGCCAGCAAAGAUCAGUGCCUGGAGCCUUCCAGAUGUGUCAGAAAUGAGACAGUCUGCAUGAAUCCUAUUUUGAAGAUCAGUGUUGGAUGAUAUCAUGGGUUUUGGUGUCCCUCUGAACUUCCUCUGGCCAUGCCUUCACUGUGGUGAGCAAUGAGUAGUCGUAUCAGGUGCCUUAAAUGUGCAAGAUGCUCAUGACUUCUGCUUCAAGGCUGCUCACACAUCUGGCUGAUCUGUUCGGGACCUAAAGUUCACCCAGGUAUUUUUGGCUUCCCUUUCUCCAUCUAAACUCUUCUACAUGUUCUCUGAGUCUCUGCCAAUUCUUAUUCUGCAUCUCCAUCUCCUAAAUCCCAGGUUGUAUCCAGGUCCCUGUUCCUUCUUCAAUCCCAUUUUCUUUCCUCAGCCAAGUCUUGCAAGGUGGAGGAGUUGAGCAGAGCAAGCAGCUGUAAUCUGGCGGAGAAUCUGUUCCUGCUUUGUCCUCUCUGCUCUUUGGUGGCUGGGUCUAUGAUGAUUCAUGGAGAAGUCUGCAGAUUUCGUGCACCAGUUUUCCUGGUAGCUCUUUCCUUAGAAGCAGAAGUGUGACAAGCAGUCAAACAGAGGCUCCAGAUGGUCUUAAAUUAUCAGCUUCAGCUCCACCCAAAUAGAUAAACAUACAGAGAAGUCAUACGGGUGGGGAACCUUACAUUUGAAUGCUAUCUAGCAGCACUUUGCACUGGAUGCUCUGUGUAGAAGGGGCACAAAGGUGUUUUUACACUUUUCUCAGGUGUAGCAAAGCUGGAAACCAACUUCCAAUAUGCUAGCUCCUGUGUUUGAACACCAAAGCCAUUGUUCUCUUGCUGCAGCUCCUUUCAAAAGUAGGAUGCGAAGCAUUUAGCACUUUAUAGGUAACCAGCAGCUUUUAUAGGCUACAGGAAAUCAUAAAACGUUUCCUGUUUAUAUUGUCAACCAUGAAUACAAAGCUCCAUCUACCCUGACUGUAGACGUAAGGGAGUUCUCCAGGUCUAAUCCUGGAAAGGCACUUGGCAGUCAUCCACACAAUGAAGGCAUUAAUUUAUGCUACUUAUUGCCGUUUUGCUUUGAGUCGAUGCCUUUGCUGAACUAUCUGGCCAUAGAUGUGGUGCAGUAGUGCUACACUGAUAGUACUACUAGCCUGACCAUAGAGACAUUAAAGCAUUAAAAGCAAUAAAUAGGAUGAAUUGCCCUGGUGGUGCUUUCACUCAUCUUCAGACCCAUCAGACCAGCCCGAAGGCAAUGCCGAGGUGAGAAAACAACCAACGUGCAUUCCUAUCCUGUCAAAUAAUACAUGAUCCCUGCCCAUCUUUUAAAAUUGUUGUCUUCAUCAUCACUCAGUCCAAACGCAGGCGAGAUAUAUAUCCUGUCCCCAGAUGAGGGUGCUUUUCUUGAGCUGUGAAGACGACUGAGAAGAUGAAAGCUUCCCUCCUUGUCCUUCUGGCUUUGGUCCUAUGUGCACAUGAAGCAAAAGCCCUAUAUUGCUACACCUGUGAGUGGGAACAAAGCAACUGGAGCUGUCUGAAGGCUAAGAAGUGCUCAGACAAGGAUGAGUACUGUGUGACGAACGUUGCCGCUGUAGGAAUAGGUUCUUUGUCUUUCUGGAAAAGGAUCACUAAGAAGUGCUCCAAGACCUGUCCAUACCACAACUUCAGCCUGGGCCUGGCUACCUACACCUCGUUCUGCUGCCAGACCUUCUUGUGCAACCUACCUGCCUGCCCAGGACCCAGGCUUGCUCGACCAUAAGAUGUAGGGGCUCCUGAAUCAGUGCCCUUCACUUGCUCAGAGAAAAGGGCUCCUGAAGGCCUGAAGAACAUGGUCAGAUUUCCCCAGAAGGGUAUGUCGGGGGGAAGUCUUUCAGUGAGAGUGUGAAGUAGUCUUGGAACAGGUUGCCCAGAGAGGUUGUGGUGCCCUGACUAUGGAUGUGAUUGAGACCGGGUUGGACGGGGACCUGGGCAACUUAUCUAAUGGUUGACAACCUUGCCUGCGGCAGCGGGAUUGGAACUUGAUGAUCCUUGAGGUCUCUUCCAACCCAAGCCACUCUACGAUUCUGAUUCUAUGAUUCCAUGAUUAUGUGAUUCUAUGACUCUAUGAUUCUACGAUCCUAUGGUAUGGACACCAUGCAUGCAUGCUAAGUAGAUAAAAUAUUAUGGUUGCCACCUCCUGCCCUGUGUUGCCUCUUCAUCUGGAGCUUCUUACUUGCUUCUUAUGCCUGAGUUCUGUCACCCCAGUACUUUGAUGGAGAAGUGGCCAUGCUGUGUCCUCUGCAGCUUGGAGGAGGGAGAUGCUGCUUCUGCACGGCCUGUGCCUCUCUGGAGGGAUUUCUCCUGCAGUCUUGCCUUGUCUUGGGUGCAGGUGGGAGCCACACAGCAAAGAGCAGCUUUCCAGCCUUGGGAUAGAGGGUAGACCAGAAAUAAGUACUUCUACUACUACACCUCCAUUUCCAGGGGCUCUCAUUGGCCACCCGCUUCAUGUUGCCUUGCUUGCUUGCAGCUGCUGUUUGAGCCAAGUGAACCAGUUCCCCUGGAUCUAGCUCUUGGCAAUGCAUCGUCCUGAUGACAAUGAGUCAUUCAUUUACCCAUCCCUCGGACAUCCCUCAGAGCAACUGCAGGGUAAUGAAAAGUACUUGCAGCCUUUGGGUCAAUCUGGGGAGGAACAUCUGGAGAGAUUUAUGAGAGAAGAAUACAGAUUUUUGAGUAUUGCAUGUAGAUGUUUCCAGACGCUGCAGAGAAUGGAGGGUAAAAGGAAGCUGAAAAAAUAAAUGAUGAUAAUGAGAGCUCAGGGACUCUCCAUUGCCAGAGGUGUUGCUGAGUGCCUUUCCCUCUUCCCCAGAAGCACUUUUUGAAGGAGAAUGGAAAUGCACAAACUUGGAUAAGCUGGGAGGGUGGAGGAGCUCUUCUCAGGUCUGGGGCCAUAAUUUGGAUGCUGAACUUUUGCACCACACUCCCAUGAGCAAAACAGAGCACAUCUGCAGCCCAGGACUCGCUUCACAAUCAACUCUCUCUGAGCUUUCAAAUCUGCAAAGUGCUGCUCAGCCAAAGGAUGACGCUCCGUGCUGUGUGGUGCUUCCAACCCAACGCUGGUAAACAAGGGGACAAAAGGGGCUUUGAGCCCUGCAGAGUGCAUCUCCCUGAGGCCAGUGCCACGGCUUCUCCGGAUGAAUGCCUCCUUCUGAAAUGCUGCAUAACGGCAGCCUUCAGAGAUGCAUGCUCUCUUUUAUUAAUCGGCUUCAGCUUUUCCUUUACCCCUACACCAACCUGCAAGGGAAGCUCUCUGAGCUGAAGAAGCUGUGCUGACCAAUGCACCUCUCUUUACCUCUUAGACCACGGUCGUUUUCAUGCCCUAAUUAGGAAUCUGCUUCUUCUUUUCGCCUUGAAGCAAUCACAGCACCCUCCUGUCUCUAAGCCUGAGUGCUCAAAAGCUCUAAUUUACUCCAGACACAAUUUUUUAAUGUAAAAAAAACCCGACUGUGUGUGUGUGCGUAUUUUUGGUUGUUGUUUUUUGUUUUUUUUCUUUUCAGUGCACCAGAAUUAUUCAGCUCUCUGAAAGGAAUCCCAGUUGGACAGACUCUAAUAAUUAAUAUUUCAUUGCAUUGGAUUUACACAUCCUGCAGCAGCAGAGACAGUCCCCUGCAGCCUGCAGGAAAAGA